GCCUCGGUAGCUCAGUGGUAGAAAACUCCUUUCUAGAAAUGACGUGUCUGACGAAUGCGGAUUCAGUCCCUCCGCGGGGCA